rnacentral:misc_RNA from 1 species
AUUGUAUCGUAUCGUUACAUAAUGUCAAACGUUUGAGAAACUUAUUUUUGUUCAGGGCAACUUAACUUAUGUACAAAAGAUGCAAUACAUACAUAUCAUAUUCAAAACUCUAAAUGAUGCUAUCAGUGAGAGUUGAGAAAAACCAUUUAUUCAAAACAUUGUUGAUGCAACAGUAUCACCAGAAACUAAACGAAAAUAUUGAAAGCACAAAAGACUGCUGGCUUCACCAUCAAAUUUAGCCAUGCACAUGCGCGAAUAGAACACUAGAACAAAGUAGGGGCACUCUCAGCUUUGACAUUUAUUCAUCCAGCAACUUUCCUCGAAAAGCUUCUUCCCGGAAGAAACUCUUUAGACCGUCCAUGGAACAAGUCGUGCUGUCCAUGCCAUCCUCCUGCCUUCAUUGGCUUAACUACUGGCUGCAUUGUAGGUACUCUGCCAGAGCCAAUAUUCAUGUUCCCCAGCUUGUCAGCUGCAUCAGAAACGGCAAAAUUCUGCACUCUGGAACCAACCAUUGGAUCGCUCGGGAUGUUCCUUCCAGGAGGUCGAUAUUUUGGUUGUUGGUUGACAGAGCCUUGCAGGAAUUUAUCAUUCCUCGUCGGAUCCUGAUAAUUCAUAUCCAGCUUCCUUUGAACACCUGCGUUAAACGGCAGCUGUGACUUGACAGUUGAGAAGUUGCUGCUAGGUUUGGGAUUGUGCGACAACCCAGAUGACCACUUGUACUUCUGCUCCACUGCACCCCGCACAACAGCAGAAGGAGGGGUCUUAGCAACAGCAGCCUUGGUGCGUAGUGAUGGAGGUACGUAAAAG